AUGAACGCUGGCGGCGUGCCUCAUACAUGCAAGUCGAGCGAACAGACGAGGAGCUUGCUCCUCUGACGUUAGCGGCGGACGGGUGAGUAACACGUGGAUAACCUACCUAUAAGACUGGGAUAACUUCGGGAAACCGGAGCUAAUACCGGAUAAUAUAUUGAACCGCAUGGUUCAAUAGUGAAAGACGGUUUUGCUGUCACUUAUAGAUGGAUCCGCGCCGCAUUAGCUAGUUGGUAAGGUAACGGCUUACCAAGGCAACGAUGCGUAGCCGACCUGAGAGGGUGAUCGGCCACACUGGAACUGAGACACGAUCCAGACUCCUACGGGAGGCAGCAGUAGGGAAUCUUCCGCAAUGGGCGAAAGCCUGACGGAGCAACGCCGCGUGAGUGAUGAAGGUCUUCGGAUCGUAAAACUCUGUUAUUAGGGAAGAACAAAUGUGUAAGUAACUAUGCACGUCUUGACGGUACCUAAUCAGAAAGCCACGGCUAACUACGUG
rnacentral:rRNA from 1 species